rnacentral:rRNA from 1 species
AAAACUUACCAGGUCAAGACAUGGGCGUGAUUGACAGGCUAAUGACUUUUCUCGAUUCCAUGGAUGGUGGUGCAUGGUCGCACUUAGUUGGUGCAGUGAUUUGUCAGGUUUAUUCCGGUAACGAACGAGACCUCGGCCUUGUAAAUAGCUAUGCUGCUUACAGGGACAUUGGCGGCUACGCCAAGGAAGCUCGAGGCAAUUGCAGAUCUGGAAUGCCCUUAGAUGUCCUGGGUCGCACGCGUGCUACAAUGACGCCACGAACGAGCUUGCGUGAUGAAAGUUACGCAUAAUCAGCAGUCGGCGUCUUAAGGGAUAGUCUCUUGUAACUGUGGGACUCCAACUAGGAAUGUCUCGUAAGCACAAGUCAACAUCUUGUAUUGAUUACGUCCCUGCUCUUUGUACACACCGCCCGUCGCUCCUACCGAUCGAGUGUUUAGGUGAAUUUGAUGGACGUAAGGAAGUCAAAUAAACCUGAGCACUAGAGAAGAGAAGUCUACAUC